AUGCUGAAUACAACAGGUGUAGUAGACCUUACAGUGAAAUGCUGAAUACAACAGGUGUAGUAGACCUUACAGUGAAAUGCUGAAUACAACAGGUGUAGUAGACCUUACAGUGAAAUGCUGAAUACAACAGGUGUAGUAGACCUCACAGUGAAAUGCCGAAUACAACAGGUGUAGUAGACCUUACAGUGAAAUGCUGAAUACAACAGGUGUAGUAGACCUUACAGUGAAAUGCUGAAUACAACAGGUGUAGUAGACCUUACAGUGAAAUGCUGAAUACAACAGGUGUAGUAGACCUUACAGUGAAAUGCUGAAUACAACAGGUGUAGUAGACCUUACAGUGAAAUGCUGAAUACAACAGGUGUAGGUAGACCUUACAGUGAAAUGCUGAAUACAACAGGUGUAGGUAGACCUUACAGUGAAAUGCUGAAUACAACAGGUGUAGGUAGACCUUACAGUGAAAUGCUGAAUACAACAGGUGUAGGUAGACCUUACAGUGAAAUGCUGAAUACAACAGGUGUGGUAGACCUCACAGUGAAAUGCUGAAUACAACAGGUGUAGUAGACCUUACAGUGAAAUGCUGAAUACAACA